UACGUAGGUGGCAAGCGUUGUCCGGAUUUACUGGGCGUAAAGGGCGUGCAGGCGGUCUGUUAAGUCUAGGGUGAAAGCUCCCGGCUCAACUGGGAGAGGUCCUUGGAUACUGGCGGACUUGAGGGAGGUAGAGGAAAGUGGAAUUCCCGGUGUAGUGGUGAUAUGCGUAGAUAUCGGGAGGAACACCAGUGGCGAAGGCGACUACCUGGCCUGUUCUUGACGCUGAGGCGCGAAAGCUAGGGGAGCAAACGGG
rnacentral:rRNA from 1 species